rnacentral:tRNA from 1 species
AUUAUAGUAGUCUAAAGGCUUAGGACGCUUGCACGGAAUGCAAGAGAUACGGGUUCGACUCCCGGCUGAGGCA